GACGAACGCUGGCGGCGUGCUUAACACAUGCAAGUCGAGCGGCGCGGCGAACGGGUGAGUAACGCGUGAGUAACUGACCCUCUCUUUGGGAUCACAGUUGGAAAAGGCUGCUAAUACCGGACAGUGGGGGGUGACGCGCGUCCUAUCAGCUUGUUGGUGGGGUGGUGGCGUACCAGGGCGACGACGGGUGGCCGGCCUGGGAGGGCGACCGGCCACACUGCGCUGAGAGACGGCCCAAACUCCUACGGGGGGCAGCAGGGGGGAAUAUUGCACAAUGGAGGAAGCCCUGAUGCAGCAACGCGCGGGCGGGAUGACGGCUUUCGGUUUGUAAACCGCUUUCAGCCAUGACGCGGUAGUGGCAGAAGAAGCACCGGCUAACUACGUGCCAGCAGCCGCGGUAAUUC
rnacentral:rRNA from 1 species